ACUCUUCUUCUACUUCAUUUUUUAGUUCUUUUAUAGCAUUUACUGUAAGGAUAAGCCCAACAUGAUUUAUCCAAGCCUCUAUUGUUAACCAUAUAAACAUUUCAGAUUUUUCAAUUAUAAACAUCACAGUGAUGACAUCCUUAAAUUUGAACCCAUCCACACAUAUUUUCUUAGAAUACACUGUUAGAAGUAGAAUUGCCAUUUGUGUUUUUUUACAAUAGAGAAAUUAUUAAAGUUAUUUUGAAAAAAGAGUUUGCAAUAAAGAUUUAAGGAAUGAAAAAUGAAAUCAUGACCUUCUUUGUUUCUAUAGAGGAGUCAAAUGAAGUUGUUCCAAAUGAGGCAAGGGCUCAUAAGGAAGAGAACCACCAUGCAGUAUCUGCAGAUAAUGUGAAAAUAGAAAUUAUUGAUGAUGAAGAAAGUGAUAUGAUAAGUAAUUCUGAAGUAGAGCAAGUGAAUUCUUUCUUGGAUUAUAAGAAUGAAGAAGUCAGAUUCAUUGAAAAUGAGUUAGAGAUUCAGAAGCAAAAAAAUUUUAAACUUCAGACAUUUGUAAGAAGCUUGAUACUAGCCAUAAAAGCUGACAAUAAGGAACAACAACAGGUAAGCAACAGAAAAGAAUAGUAAAUUGUAACAUAUAAUGUUGAAAUGUGGCAAGUCACACUCAGGUUCCUCACAUUCUUUUCACUUUUAUACCUCAUUCUUGCUUGUCAUCAAGGAAGGAUUUGUUAUCUCCUGACUUGUUAGUAUAGCUUCCUUGGGAAUAAAUACUCAGAUUUUUGUGCUGCUUUAGUGGAAAAUCAAAAUGAUUAACAUACUUUGUUAAAUCCAAGCCAGUAUCAAGUAGGGAAAACAUUUUAAAUUUUUAAAAUAUAAUUAUUGACUCUAUUCUCUUUUAUUUUAUUUUUUUUUUACUUUAUUUUACUUUACAAUACUAUAUUGGUUUUGUCAUACAUUGACAUGAAUCCACCACGGGUGCACAUGCGCUUAUCUUGUACAUAUUAUUUCAUUUAAUUAAUUUUAAAGAAAUUCUCAAGACAGUUGUAAAGAUGAGG
rnacentral:lncRNA from 1 species